rnacentral:rRNA from 1 species
AUUGAACGCUGGCGGCAGGCCUAACACAUGCAAGUCGAACGAGUGGCGGACGGGUGAGUAAUGUAUGGGACACUGCCCGAUAGAGGGGGAUAACUACUGGAAACGGUAGCUAAUACCGCAUACCAUCAGAUGUACCCAUAUGGGAUUAGCUAGUAGGUGGGGUAACGGCUCACCUAGGCGACGAUCCCUAGCUGGUCUGAGAGGAUGACCAGCCACACUGGAACUGAGACACGGCCCAGACUCCUACGUGAGGCAGCAGUGGGGAAUAUUGCACAAUGGGCGCAAGCCUGAUGCAGCCAUGCCGCGUGUAUGAAGAAGGCCUUCGGGUUGUAAAGUACUUUCAGCGGGGAGGCGUUACCCGCAGAAGAAGCACCGGCUAACUCCGUGCCAGCAGCCGCUGUAAUAC